rnacentral:rRNA from 2 species
AAUGGGCAGAGCCUGACGCAGCGCCGCCGCGUGGGGGAUGACGGCCUUCGGGUUGUAAACCUCUUUCAGCGCCGAAGAAGCGAAAGUGACGGUAGGCGCAGAAGAAGCACCGGCUAACUACGUGCCAGCAGCCGCGGUAAUACGUAGGGUGCGAGCGUUGUCCGGAAUUAUUGGGCGUAAAGAGCUCGUAGGCGGCGUGUCACGUCUGCUGUGGAAACCCGGGGCUUAACUUCGGGCGUGCAGUGGAUACGGGCAGGCUUGAGUUCGGUAGGGGAGACUGGAAUUCCUGGUGUAGCGGUGGAAUGCGCAGAUAUCAGGAGGAACACCGGUGGCGAAGGCGGGUCUCUGGGCCGAUACUGACGCUGAGGAGCGAAAGCGUGGGGAGCGAACAGGAUUAGAUACCCUGGUAGUCCACGCUGUAAACGUUGGGCGCUAGGUGUGGGGGCUUUGUUGUCUUCCGUGCCGCAGCUAACGCAUUAAGCGCCCCGCCUGGGGAGUACGGCCGCAAGGCUAAAACUCAAAGGAAUUGACGGGG